rnacentral:rRNA from 1 species
UACGAAGGGGGCUAGCGUUGUUCGGAAUUACUGGGCGUAAAGCGCGCGCAGGCGGUCUUGUAAGUCAGAGGUGAAAUCCCUGGGCUCAACCCAGGAACUGCCUUUGAGACUGCGAGGCUUGAGGACGGGAGAGGUGAGUGGAAUUCCCAGUGUAGAGGUGAAAUUCGUAGAUAUUGGGAAGAACACCAGUGGCGAAGGCGGCUCACUGGCCCGUUUCUGACGCUGAGGCGCGAAAGCGUGGGGAGCAAACAGG